AACGCUUCUUGUUCUUUGGCUAAGAUCAAGUAUAGUAUCUGUUCUUAUCAGUUUAAUAUUUGAAGGUCUAGACCAAAGUUUGAUGUAGAUGAUCCAUUUAUAAAAUUAAAAGCAAUUCCGUUUACGUAAUUAUUUCCAAAUAUAUGAGUGCCUCCAAGGUACCAGACACUGUUCUGGAAAUUGGGGAUACAGU
rfam:Erinaceus europaeus unplaced genomic scaffold scaffold00294, whole genome shotgun sequence